rnacentral:rRNA from 1 species
UGGGGAAUAUUGCACAAUGGGCGCAAGCCUGAUGCAGCCAUGCCGCGUGUGUGAAGAAGGCCUUCGGGUUGUAAAGCACUUUCAGCGAGGAGGAAGGUGGUGAGCUUAAUACGCUCAUCAAUUGACGUUACUCGCAGAAGAAGCACCGGCUAACUCCGUGCCAGCAGCCGCGGUAAUACGGAGGGUGCAAGCGUUAAUCGGAAUUACUGGGCGUAAAGCGCACGCAGGCGGUUUGUUAAGUCAGAUGUGAAAUCCCCGGGCUCAACCUGGGAACUGCAUUUGAAACUGGCAAGCUAGAGUCUCGUAGAGGGGGGUAGAAUUCCAGGUGUAGCGGUGAAAUGCGUAGAGAUCUGGAGGAAUACCGGUGGCGAAGGCGGCCCCCUGGACGAAGACUGACGCUCAGGUGCGAAAGCGUGGGGAGCAAAACAGGAUUAGAUACCCUGGUAGUCCACGCUGUAAACGAUGUCGAUUUUGGAGGUUGUGCCCCUUGAGGCGUGGCUUCCGGAGCUAACGCGUUAAAUCGACCGCCU